rnacentral:rRNA from 1 species
UACGUAGGGGGCGAGCGUUGUCCGGAUUCAUUGGGCGUAAAGCGCUUUAAGGCGGUUCGCUAAGUCGGGUGUGAAACCUCCAGGCUCAACCUGGAGACGCCACUCGAUACUGGCGUGACUAGAGUCCGGCAGGGGACCACGGAAUUCCUGGUGUAGCGGUGAAAUGCGCAGAUAUCAGGAGGAACACCGGUGGCGAAGGCGGGUCUCUGGGCCGAUAUUGACGCUGAGGAGCGAAAGCGUGGGGAGCGAACAGG